rnacentral:rRNA from 1 species
AUUGAACGCUGGCGGCAGGCCUAACACAUGCAAGUCGAACGAGUGGCGGACGGGUGAGUAAUGUCUGGGAAACUGCCCGAUGGAGGGGGAUAACUACUGGAAACGGUAGCUAAUACCGCAUACCAUCGGAUGUGCCCAGAUGGGAUUAGCUAGUAGGUGGGGUAAUGGCUCACCUAGGCGACGAUCCCUAGCUGGUCUGAGAGGAUGACCGGCCACACUGGACCUGAGACCCGGUCCAACCUCCUACGGAGGGCGGCAGUGGGGAAUAUUGCACAAGGGGCGAAAGCCUAAUGCAGCCAGGCCGCGUGUAGGAAGAAGGCCUUCGGGUUGUAAAGUACUUUCAGCGAGGAGGCGUUACUCGCAGAAGAAGCACCGGCUAACUCCGUGCCAGCAGCCGCGGUAAUUC